GAAAUGCGAUAAGUAAUGUGAAUUGCAGAAUUCAGUGAAUCAUCGAAUCUUUGAACGCACAUUGCGCCCGCCAGUAUUCUGGCGGGCAUGCCUGUCCGAGCGUCAUUUCAACCAUCAAGCCCCCGGGCUUGUGUUGGGGACCUGCGGCUGCCCGCAGGCCCUGAAAACCAGUGGCGGGCUCGCUGUCACACCGAGCGUAGUAGCAAUCACCUCGCUAAGGGCGUGCUGCGGGUUCCGGCCGUUAAACAGCCUUACAAAACCCAAGGUUGACCUCGGAUCAGGUAGGAAGACCCGCUGAACUUAAGC
rnacentral:misc_RNA from 1 species